rnacentral:rRNA from 1 species
CCUACGGGAUGCUGCAGUGGGGAAUAUUGCGCAAUGGCCGAAAGCCUGACGCAGCGACGCCGCGUGAGGGAUGAAGGUCUUCGGAUCGUAAACCUCUGUCAGCAGGGAAGAACGGUCACUGUGCUAAUCAGCAGUGAAUUGACGGUACCUGCAAAGGAAGCACCGGCUAAAUCCGUGCCAGCAGCCGCGGUAAGACGGAGGGUGCGAGCGUUAAUCGGAAUUACUGGGCGUAAAGCGCUCGUAGGCGGUAUGUUAAGUCAAGGGUGAAAUCCCCGCGCUCAACGUGGGAACUGCCUUUGAAACUGUCGAACUGGAGUGUGUGAGAGGAUAGUGGAAUUCCAGGGGUAGGAGUGAAAUGCGUAGAUAUCUGGCAGAACAUCAGUGGCGAAGGCGACUAUCUGGCACAUAACUGACGCUGAGGAGCGAAAGCGUGGGUAGCAAACAGGAUUAGAUACCCCAGUAGUC